rnacentral:piRNA from 1 species
UGAUAUCUGGGUUCAGAGCGCCACCUA